rnacentral:rRNA from 1 species
UGGUGGAUUGAUUUGUGUGGUUACUUCCGUUAACGAGCGAGACCUCAACCUGCUAAAUAUCUACUAGGCGGGCAAUUUCUCAGAGGGACUUUGUUUGUCCACCGCAAGGAAGUUUGAGGCAAUAACA